AAAACAGAAUUGAACGCUGGCGGCAUGCCUUACACAUGCAAGUCGAACGGCAGCACGGGUGCUUGCACCUGGUGGCGAGUGGCGAACGGGUGAGUAGUGCAUCGGAACGUACCCAGUAGUGGGGGAUAACUACCCGAAAGGGUGGCUAAUACCGCAUAUACUGUGCGCAGGAAAGCAGGGGACCGUUUGGCCUUGUGCUACUGGAGCGGCCGAUGUCAGAUUAGCUAGUUGGUGGGGUAAAGGCCUACCAAGGCGACGAUCUGUAGCGGGUCUGAGAGGAUGAUCCGCCACACUGGGACUGAGACACGGCCCAG
rnacentral:rRNA from 1 species